AUGAAGAAGGUUAUUCAGCAGUUUGUGCAAUCUUGCUUAGUGUGUCAGCAAGCGAAACCUGAGCGUGUGGCUUACCCGGGACUGCUAUCACCAUUGCCAGUACCUGCCAAGGCCUGGGAAACGGUGACAAUGGACUUUAUCUCAGGAUUACCUCCUUCAGGCCAGUUUGACUGCAUUAUGGUCAUCAUCGACAAAUUUACAAAGUAUGGCCACUUUGUUCCUAUCAAACACCCCUACACGGCCCAGAAAAUUGCCGAUCUCUUCCUGGACAAUGUCUAUAAGCUUCAUGGCAUGCCGCUGUACAUUGUGUCAGACUGGGACCCUGUCUUUACCAACAAUUUUUGGCAAAUUUUGGUCAAGAAGACUGGAGCUGUCCUUAACAUGAGCACUGCAUACCAUCCGGAGACUGACGGUCAGACCGAGCGAGUGAAUCAACAGGUUGAGUGUUUCCUGAGAUGCUUUAUCAGUGCCCACCCCAGCAAGUGGUCCAAGUGGCUUCCCCUGUGUGAGUUCUGGUACAAUACUAACUGGCAUUCAGCUCUCAACAAAUCACCGUUUGAAGUUCUUUAUGGACAUAGCCCCAGGUAUUUUGGGAUAUCAGCUUCAGAUAUGGUUGCUCCAAUUGAUUUGCAGUAG
rnacentral:rRNA from 1 species